rnacentral:sRNA from 1 species
ACGGAGACUUUCUGGGCUCUGGAUGGUUCGUGGGCUGCUCACCCUCGCCCACCCCUGACGCCGCGGACCGCAGCUCCUCAGCCCCGCAGCCCCGCAGCCCAGCAGCCCCGCAGCGGCGCCGAGGACAGUGCAGCCGAGUUGCGUCUCCCUCGCGCGAGGAUAGCCAUUUUCUUUGAGCAAGCACAACAAACUUUUUAAUAAAGGAAUUUUAAAGAAACAUUUAUAGCAGUUUGGAUUACCCCAAAGAAGUAAAGGGGAAAAGGUUAUCUUAGAACAUAUUCAGCCAUUGUUUGAUGUCCUGUGACUGAGAAACCAGGCUUUAAACUUUAUGCCUUUGGAGAUGGAGCCCAAGAUGAGCAAACUGGCCUUUGGCUGUCAGAGAAGUUCCACAUCAGAUGAUGACUCUGGCUGUGCAUUGGAGGAGUACGCCUGGGUCCCCCCGGGCCUGAGACCAGAGCAGAUCCAGCUCUAUUUUGCUUGCUUACCAGAGGAAAAAGUUCCUUACGUUAACAGCCCCGGAGAGAAGCAUCGGAUUAAACAGCUUUUGUACCAGUUACCACCACAUGAUAAUGAGUGUUUGCAGCCACCCACCAAUGAUCAGAAACCUACAAAUUCCUGAGAUUUCCCUGCCCCUGCAUCCAGAGUGAAUGCUUUAUGGUCAUUCAGGCCUGCAGUUGAGUUGAGUGCAUGUAGAAUGGAGAGUAAAAGUGGCAAUUAACAAGUUUAAACCUUUUGUGGAAAGGUUAAUGUCCUAUAUAUAUUUUUU